GACGAACGCUGGCGGCGUGCUUAACACAUGCAAGUCGAACGAAGAGCGAUGGAAGCUUGCUUCUAUCAAUCUUAGUGGCGAACGGGUGAGUAACGCGUAAUCAACCUGCCCUUCAGAGGGGGACAACAGUUGGAAACGACUGCUAAUACCGCAUACGAUCUAAUCUCGGCAUCGAGGAUAGAUGAAAGGUGGCCUCUACAUGUAAGCUAUCACUGAAGGAGGGGAUUGCGUCUGAUUAGCUAGUUGGAGGGGUAACGGCCCACCAAGGCGAUGAUCAGUAGCCGGUCUGAGAGGAUGAACGGCCACAUUGGGACUGAGACACGGCCCAGACUCCUACGGGAGGCAGCAGUGGGGAAUCUUCCGCAAUGGACGAAAGUCUGACGGAGCAACGCCGCGGGAGUGAUGACGGCCUUCGGGUUGUAAAGCUCUGUUAAUCGGGACGAAAGGCCUUCUUGCGAAUAGUGAGAAGGAUUGACGGUACCGGAAUAGAAAGCCACGGCUAACUACGUG
rnacentral:rRNA from 1 species